UACGAAGGGGGCUAGCGUUGCUCGGAAUCACUGGGCGUAAAGCGCACGUAGGCGGAUUGCUAAGUCAGGGGUGAAAUCCUGGAGCUCAACUCCAGAACUGCCUUUGAUACUGGCGAUCUUGAGUCCGGGAGAGGUGAGUGGAACUCCGAGUGUAGAGGUGAAAUUCGUAGAUAUUCGCAAGAACACCAGUGGCGAAGGCGGCUCACUGGACUGGUAUUGACGCUGAGGUGCGAAAGCGUGGGGAGCAAACAGG
rnacentral:rRNA from 1 species